rnacentral:misc_RNA from 1 species
GAUGAAGAACGCAGCGAAAUGCGAUACGUAAUGUGAAUUGCAAAUUCAGUGAAUCAUCGAGUCUUUGAACGCACAUUGCGCCCCCUGGUAUUCCGGGGGGCAUGCCUGUCCGAGCGUCAUUGCUGCCCUCAAGCACGGCUUGUGUGUUGGGCCCCGUCCUCCGAUCCCGGGGGACGGGCCCGAAAGGCAGCGGCGGCACCGCGUCCGGUCCUCGAGCGUAUGGGGCUUUGUCACCCGCUCUGUAGGUCCGGCCGGCGCUUGCCGAUCAACCCAAAUUUUUAUCCAGGUUGACCUCGGAUCAGGUAGGGAUACCCGCUGAACUUAAGCAUAUCAAUAAGCGGAGGA